rnacentral:lncRNA from 1 species
CAAGAUACCAUUGAUUAAUACAUUCAUUCAAGCAUAUAUACAAGAUUCAUUAUUUGCUACACUCAAGUCAGCUACAACCAAUAAGGAAAUAAGUAAGUCAACAUACAAGACGUUGUCUAUUACAAAAUAUGACGGCUAAGCUCCUAAGAGACCCAAUUGUUCGAUCACUUGACUACUACAAGAUAAUAAGGAAGAGACCAAAUACCUUCGAUCACCGAGCUGACCUCAACUUCCAUAUCCACGAAAUGUGUCAAACAUGCUAUGAACAAAACCGAUCAUCAGAACAUCUUGUAUCAACUUGUGGACGUGCCAUUGUCACUGCAAAAGAACUUAAAUGUUUGAGCAAUCUUAUAAAGGAGAAUUUGUUCAAAUUUGUAAGUUGCCCUUGAUCCCAAAGAUCUAAAAACUGAAGAUGUACUACAAAUAGUUUGUUACAGAAGAUAUCCUUAAUAAAGCAUCAACAAAAGUCAGGCUAGCAACUAGCAUAUCACAUGCCUUAAUAGAAAAUUUAUGGGCUCAUUGACUUAGAUCUGUUAAAAGGCAUAACGAAUAAGGUUCUUAUUGUAACUUUACAGAUUUGUAUUUGAAGUUCCUCAACCAACAAAUAAUCAGAUAUGCACUUGUACAUGUACCAGCAGUCAUAAACGUGGUAGCAGGAAGUGCACUUGGUGAAAAAAGGCAUUUCGAAGACCAUAUGCUUGCACAUGCAUCUUGGUUUAACAGAUGCACUCUAGUUAGGCAUUGUCUAGUGUGAGUAAUUGCUAGGAUGAUCUUUACACAAUUUAUAAUAAAUCAUGCCUGCCAUUUACUAUGUGCUCUGGGUUCAUCUAUAGUCCAUUUAAUUACUACAUGCGCUCACUUCAUCUACAAGCCACUAAACUAUUCACGGACCUAGCAUAAUUAUUGAUAUCCAUUGGUAAGCAAAUCUGAUUCAGAAUCUAAACUCGGAUGAAUCUAUUUAGAAAAUGUAAGAAAGAUACCUAGCAAGUAAAUGGUGUUACAUCUUCCAUCACGACAAGAAAGAACAAAUGGUUAGAGCAUGCACGACUGUAAGAAAGGACAUCCACCCAUCAGUUGAGCUAAGAAGUUGCCCUGCUGAAAAUUAUGUGCACCAGUUUAAGGCGAACAUCUAAGAAGUAUAAAAUAAAUGGGACACAUUGCUAGCAGUAAAACAAAAUCACGUAUAUGCAUAGUGCAGGGAUGCCUCAGUUGGAACAAGGCAUGACUCAAGUUUGGUGCACAAAUCAAUAUUUACAAUGAACAAGCGGAUAAAAUAGAUCCUUAAAGAAUAGGACCUCCUACCUAAAUAUAUAUAUAGAAGUCCACGAACAAUUUUUAUGUGCAUGUUUAUCGAUGAAACCUUGUUACGAAGCUGUAUUUGGUCUGGACACACGGUGAGAAGGAAGAUGUUCCCGUGACAUGGUUUGUGAUGUGAUGCUGUUCGAUGAGCUUGAUGAUGCCAUUCACAGGA